rnacentral:rRNA from 1 species
AAAGUAUUUUCUGCCCAAUGAUUUUUAAUUAAAUGGCUGCAGUAUUUUGACUGUACAAAGGUAGCAUAAUAAUUAGUUUUUUAAUUGAGAACUGGAAUGAAUGGAUAUAUGAAAAAUAUGUUUUAUUUUUUAUAAUUUUAUAACUUUAUUUUUGAGUAAAAAAGCUUAAUUGUUUUUUAGGGACGAAAAGACCCUAUAGAACUUAUAUUAUUAUCAAAAUUUGAUUUUAUUUAGGUUUUAAUAAAUUAUUUUUGUAUAUAAUUUGGUUGGGGGGACAAAUAAAUUUUUUAACUUUAUUUUUUUUAUUCAUUAUUUUUAUGAUUUUUCUGAUCCUUACAAGAGAAUUAAGAUUAAGUUACCUUAGGGAUAACAGCGUAAUUUUAAUGGGGAGAUCUUAUUUAUAUUAAAGUUUGCGACCUCGAUGUUGAAUUAAGAAAAGUUUAAGGGGUAGGUUCUUUAAUUUCUAAGUCUGUUCGACUU